rnacentral:tRNA from 1 species
GCUUGGGUGGCUCAUUCGGUCAAGCGUCUGACUUCGGCUCAGGUCAUGAGCUCAUGGUUUGUGGGUUCAAGUCCCACGACGGGCU